UCAGAGAGCUGUUUGAGUACAACCUGAGGAGAGGCACCUCUGCCAUGAGAGAGAGGUCAGACAACUGGUUUGCCUGCUCACCAGAGACCAGCCAGAGGCCACUCAGCAGAUGAAUGACCUGAUCAUUCACAAGGUGUCCGCUGCUCUGAAGGGCCACUGGGCCAAUCCUGACCUGGUCUCCAGUCUGCAGUAUGAGAUGCUACUGCUCACCGACUCCAUCUCCAAGGAAGGGGCUGCUGGGAGCUACGACUGCGAUGUGCCCUGAGUCUGUUCCUGAUGGCCGUGAACAUCAAGACCCCUGUGGUG